AUCCCAUUGAAAUGUUCAAGUAAUCUAACAUGUAGUUUUCUAAUGGUGCGUCCUAUAUACUGGGUGCCACAUUUACAUUGUAGUAGAUAUACAACAUUUUUGCUUUGACAGUUAAUAAAAUGCUUUAUUUUGAAGACCUCCUUAGUUACAGUGCUCCUAAAUUCUAUGGUUUUAUUUGCUUGAAAUUUACAGGUGCUGCACCUACCACAUUUAAAG